UUAAGGCUGCAUGUGUGCUUUGUUUUGCAGGAGGCCGCCGUGUUUGCACAAGAGCAAGGCUUUGAGACUGAAGACGUUGAGGAGAUUGCGAAGAAGGCCCAAAGCUUGCCCAAAGAGAACAAGAAAAGGCAGAGGAUUGUUGUCCUCACCCAAGGGAAAGAACGAACUAUAAUGACCAAAGGUGACGAGGUGGAGACAUUCCCUGUCCUGGAGAUCGACCAGAGCAAGAUAGUGGACACCACCGGUGCUGGAGACGCCUUUGUUGGAGGUUUCCUGUCUCAACUGGUACAGGAUAAGACCUUUGAGCAGUGCAUCCGCGCUGGACACUACGCUGCUAACGUCAUUAUUCGCCAUGCAGGCUGCACAUUCCCAGAAAAGCCAGACUUCCACUGAUGGGCUGCUGAGAGACCGGAAGAUACGGCCGUCCGUGUGUUUUAUAGGACUAAUGCCUUUUUUAAUUAACUUUUUUUUAUCUUCUGUUCCUCUUUCCUCUCUUGUUCACUGCCUGCCUUCUGCUGUGUCACAUUAAAAACCAUUUACAAGAGAGGCAAAAGAGGAAUUUCUCUUGGAUAUAUUGAUUUGUUUUUACUAAAGCCAUUUUAGUAUCACUGUUAAGAGUGAUGAACAUAGCCAGCAUCUUUCCAGAUGUGGAGUUUGCUAACAAAAUUAUUGUAGUUGUAAUUAGCUGUAAAAAAAAAGAAAAAGCUGAAGCCGAUAUUGUAAAACCUACAGAAGCCAGUUUGAAUCAUUUGAACUUUUUUUUUAAAUCAAAGGCUUGUUUUAUCUCAAAUGUUGUUGGCCAGUCUUUCUGUUGUAAGCCAAAUGUAUUUGUGGGAAACACUUGAAUGUGUCACAAACUGCAAAAGGAAACAAAUAAAAGGCUGUAUUACUGCU